UGUUCUUUUGCAAGUCCUACGUUAUUUCUUACUCUUGCUAGUAAUGGAUUCAACGUAAUUAUACUUGGUACUUGGGAGUUUUUAAUGAGUGCAUACCGAGUCAGUUGAUGAGUAACGCUGGGUACAAAUUCUUCAAUUGUUGUUACAGCAUCAAAUGGUACAAUUAUCCACCAAAAUCUAGGCUUGCUAUGUUAAUGUUAAUGAAUAGAGCAAUGAAA